CAGUCGCCGCGGUAAUACAGAGGAUGCAAGCGUUAUCCGGAAUGAUUGGGCGUAAAGCGUCUGUAGGUGGCUUUUCAAGUCCGCCGUCAAAUCCCAGGGCUCAACCCUGGACAGGCGGUGGAAACUACCAAGAUGGAGUACGGUAGGGGCAGAGGGAAUUUCCGGUGGAGCGGUGAAAUGCGUUGAGAUCGGAAGGAACACCAACGGUGAAAGCACUCUGCUGGGCCGACACUGACACUGAGAGACGAAAGUUAGGGGAGAAAAUGGGAUUAGAUACCCCCGUAGUCCCUGUCUCUUAUAC
rnacentral:rRNA from 1 species